GGAGAAAACAGGGCUGAAACACGUCAGCGUGGAGAAAACAGUGCUGAAACACGUCAGCGUAGAGAAAACAGGGCUGAAACACAUCAGCGUGGAGAAAACAGGGCUGAAACACGUCAACGUGGAGAAAACAGGGCUGAAACACGUCUAUGUGGAGAAAACAGGACUGAAACAUCUACGUGGAAGAAACACGGCUGAAACACAUCUGCGUGGAGGAAACAAGCAAUAUUUCAAAAAAACACUUUCCGUCACAGAAUAUGUAUCGCCCCCGAUAUGUGGUAAUUGCUACAGUUGAAAAUACAGUGCCGUGUGUCAGUGUAAAAUGGAAGUGCAAAUGAAUUCUUCAAUUAAUAUACCUCUGUCAGAAUACUGUGUCCCAAAUGGAUCACUACUCCCUUUGUAGUGCACAACUUUUGACCAAAGUCCAUUGGCCUAUUCUUUGAAUUGACACUCCUUGUCGCUAACUGAUUGACUGACAGUAAGAUGUCAUUGGCCAUUCACAAAGUGGGGACCAAUAUAUUACAAGUAACAUGUUAUUAUCCCUCAGCAGUGUUCCUUCUCAUUCAGAUUUCUCUAAUAUAGAUAUUACCAUGGGGAGAAUCCUACAGCUGCCAAUAGCUCAGGCCAUCUACUGCACAUCUGAGGCUCAUUGUAAUGCACUGGAGAUGCAGCGGACAGCAGGGGUUUAGCAGUCUGAUAAUGAGUCAGAGUGAAGGAGCCUGUGUGUGCGUGCGUGCAUGCAUGCGUGCGUCGUUAAGCCCCUGAAGGUCUCUUCAGGAGAUUGGAGCGAUGGCCUUGACCUAAUUACAGACAAAGCACCAUGGUGGUUGAGUAUAACAAUUACCAGUUCCCAGCUGCUGAUGUUCCUCUGGUGGUACCCCUCCUCAUGACUCUUCCUGAAGGCAUCACCUCCACUUCGACCCCCACGACCCUUGCUAACAGUACUGUGGUCACUAUGGUCAUGGUCAAUGUGGUCAUCGUGACCAUGGUCAUCUUUGUGUCCCUCUUGAUCCUCUUCGUGGAUUCCACCCAGUUGCAGGCUCUUCAUAAGACCUUCCAGCUCUACAGAGAUUAAUCACAAUGAUAUGGUUAGUUGGUGGUAGAGUAUAUUAGCAGGCCAUUGAGGAACAGUAAUAUAGUGGUAGAGUAUAUUAGCAGGCCAUUGAGGAACAGUAAUAUGCUGGUAGUGUAUAUUAGCAGACCAUUGAGGAACAGUAAUAUGGUGGUAGAGUAUAUUAGCAGGCCAUUGAGGAACAGUAAUAUGGUGGUAGAGUAUAUUAACAGGCCAUUGAGGAACAGUAAUAUGCUGGUGGAGUAUAUUAGCAGACCAUUGAGGAACAGUAAUAUGGUGGUAGGGUAUAUUAGCAGGCCAUUGAGGAACAGUAAUAUGGUGGUAGAGUAUAUUAAC
rnacentral:lncRNA from 1 species